GAUGAACGCUGGCGGCGUGCCUAAUACAUGCAAGUCGAACGCGCAGCGAAAGGUGCUUGCACCUUUCAAGCGAGUGGCGAACGGGUGAGUAACACGUGGAUAACCUGCCUCAAGGCUGGGGAUAACAUUUGGAAACAGAUGUUAAUACCGAAUAAAACUUAGUAUCGCAUGAUACAAAGUUAAAAGGCGCUACGGCGUCACCUAGAGAUGGAUCCGCGGUGCAUUAGUUAGUUGGUGGGGUAAAGGCUUACCAAGACGAUGAUGCAUAGCCGAGUUGAGAGACUGAUCGGCCACAUUGGGACUGAGACACGGCCCAAACUCCUACGGGAGGCUGCAGUAGGGCAUCUUCCACAAUGGGCGCAAGCCUGAUGGAGCAACGCCGCGUGUGUGAUGAAGGCUUUCGGGUCGUAAAGCACUGUUGUAUGGGAAGAAAUGCUAAAAUAGGGAAUGAUUUUAGUUUGACGGUACCAUACCAGAAAGGGACGGCUAAAUACGUGCCAGCAGCCGCAGUAA
rnacentral:rRNA from 1 species